CCGCUCUCAGCCCCUUCGGCCUCUACCUGAAGAGCCACGCCCCGUCUGCUACACCCAACUGAUUGGUUCCUCAAUCACAGAGAGGAAAGGCAACAUGAGGAUGACGUCAGUUACAAAUAUGGCGUUUUGGACGGGCUCGAUAGUUUGCUUGGCCUCUACUCAAGGAAUGCUGAUGGUAUAGCAAGAAGGUAUUCUGAGCAUUAUAUCAAUGGGGAAGUUCUAGAUCUUUUGCAAAGCAGGAGCAAGCUGCCCUGUUGUGAGCUCUCCGGUGGAGAGCCCCACAUGGCAAGAAAAUGAGAAGCCCCCUGAACAGACAAGAGCUGAGGCCCAGGAUACAAUAUCCUGAAAAAAACUGAAUCCUGCUGACAGUUGCCCAAGUGAAGCUGGAAGUGGAUCUUUCUGCAGUGGAUCCUUGAGAUGACUGUAGCCCUGGCUGACAACUUGAUUGCUGCCUGUGAAGGACCCUGAACCAGAGGACUCAGCGAAAUUGUGCCCAGAUUCCUGACCUACAGAGGCAGUGAGAUAAUAAAUGCUGUUGAGGUCACAAAGUUUUGAGGUAUUUGUUAAUACAGCAAUGGAUACUUAAUACAGCUUCCUACAUGGUCUCCCUCCUUCGACCUUUACACUACAAUCUGUCGUCCACACAGCAGUCAGAGAUCCUUUUAAAACAUAAGUCAGAUCAUCAUGACACUCACCUCCCUGCUAAGUGUCCUGCAAGGCCUUUCACGGUCUGAUCCCCUAUCCUUUCUCUUUCCUCAUCUCCUAUCACUCUUGCCCUUGCAAAUUUUCUUCCAGCACUCUGGCCUCCUUGCUGUUCUUCAGUAUGGCAAGCAACCUGCUGCCCGGAGCCCACACACUGACUGUCCCCUCUCCUAGGACACUCUUCCCUCAAGGGCUCCCAUAUCUUGCCUGCUGGCUCCUGCAUCUUCUUCAAGUCUGCUCAAAUGUCACCUUCUCAGUGAGGCCCAUCCUGGCUAUCCUCUUUCAGUUCUGACAGAAAAUAAUUUAUUGCUUUAUUACAUCAUUAUUUUGUUGUCUUCCCUCCGUCUGUUCCUACUAAAAUUUAAUCUCUGAGAAAGCAGAAAACGUUGUCUUGUUCUUUCCUGUAACCCAAGUGCCUUGAACAUUGCCUCAUUAAUUGCUUGCGCUCAGUAAUAUGUGUUGAAUAAAUGGGUUAAGUAGUUUAUUAAUUGUGAAACUAAAUCCUGUCUGAAAGGUUUGGAGCAGCUUGUUGAAAUAGCAAAUGGAGAUUCUGUGUUUUAAGUUGUGGCUAAGGUAGAAUCAUCCAUGAUGUAUGUGGAGCCAGCUCCUGUGUCCUGGACUUAAACAUCUGUAUCUGACGUGUGGGUAAUUAUAUUGCUAUCCUACACCUUUGACCCAUUCAUCUCGGCUCACCUGUGAUCCAGGCUAUGCUACUAAAGUUGGGUGAGAGAGUCUGCAACACAAGGAAAACAUAGAGCCAUCAUUUAGUAAAUCAAACCCAUAAUAAUACAUUUUGUUGUUAAAUGUAGCCAAUCUCUGAGUAUUUUUUAUUAAAGUAUCUCUAAUGUUUAAAAA
rnacentral:lncRNA from 1 species